UGUAGUCCGUAUGUCGGUUCUUAGAAGACAACAGAGGGCUUCAAAAUAAGUUUGAACACUAAACAACCACAAUCCAAAUAGAAAAGAAAUACGGCGAUGUUUGGAACAUUUUUUCAGUGUGUUCUUUUUUGACUUCAAAUAUGUUGACGAUAAUGUUGACGACGCUGGCAGUAACGGUAAGGAUGACUAUCAGAAAUUAAUACGAAGGUGUUGUCAAUAGGCAAAUUCUCCAAAAUUCUAUACACGAUAUUGACAAACUUCCACGAUGACGGGACCUCCGUUGAAAACCACAAUACAUUGCUGAACCUUAC